rnacentral:lncRNA from 1 species
UGUGUUGCACAUUAUUAUUAGUGAAGAGGACAUAUGGAAUAGUCUUAUUGUGUUCCCUACUAAACCAUCAUGUAUUAAUCCCCUAAAAGAAGGACAAUUCUUACAAAAAAAAUAUUCUACUUCUAAUGGAGUUUACUAACUUCUCUUGUGGAAAGAGGGUACUUAAAAAAAUAAUAACUUUUAAAUACCUGAGCCAAGAUGUUGUAAUAGACAAUACUAAAUCUUAAGCCUGCAAACUCCAAUAACUGGGAAUACUUCACUGUGUAGCAUAAAAUUACAAAAUUAAAACCAAGAGACUACCACAGUCUUCUCUAUUCGUGGCCGAUUUGAACUGUGGCUAGAGUUUGGGGCUUGCCAACAGCUAGUGACAUUAUUCUCCUCUAUUCCUUGCAUAUAAGGACCAUCAGACACGAUUCUAAGAACUUGAUAGAUUAAUCCUAGAUUAAAAUGACGAACAACAAAACAUACAAAAUAGGGGAAAAAACCUACCUCUGACCUCUGACACUUGCUGUGAUUUACAAGCACGACGGAUUACAUGUCCUUCGUUGACCUAGAAGAUAUAAUUGGGGGCUUGACGACUGCAAUCAUCUGAACAGUGAAUGGCAAUGAGUAGGGAGAAGGGGAUCAUCGUCAAUCCGAGAACCUCACUAGACAAAAGAUACAAACAACACCAGGAGACAGGAAGUGACUAAAGUUUGAUUCAUUCUUGCCAUCACUGAAUCAUGAUUGCCAUACCCAAUUACAGCACCGAAGAACCAACCUAACAUAAAACAAGAGGGGAAGGAAACAAUA